rnacentral:rRNA from 1 species
CACCGCCCGUCACACCCAUGAAAGCCUAUUGUACCAGAAGUCAUCGUGCUAACCGCAAGGAGGUAGAUGCCUAAGGUAUGGUCGGGUGAGUUGGGGUG